rnacentral:rRNA from 1 species
CAACUUUCACCAUUGCAUGGCUAGGGACGCACAUCGAUAAAAAACGCUGCGAACUGCGUUACCUAAUGCGCAUUGCGCAAUUCAAUGAGUCAUCCUCUUUUGAACGCGCAUUGCACUUUCGGGAUAUUCCCGGACUAUGCUUGUCUCAGUGUCCGAA